CCCUUAGAUGUUCUGGGCUGCACGCGCGCUACACUGACGCACGCAACAGGUGCCUGCUCCGAGAGGACUGGGUAAUCAUUUGAGUGUGCGUCGUGAUGGGGAUAGAAUAUUGUAAUUAUUACUCUUCUACGAGGAAUUCCUAGUAAGCGCCAGUCAGCAGCUUGCGCUGAUUACGUCCCUGCCCUUUGUACACACCGCCCGUCGCUCCUACCGAUGGGUGAUCCGGUGAAUGAUUCGGACUUCAGCGGCUCCCCUGGGGUGCGCCGGAGAAAGUUUUGUGAACCUUAUCACUUGGAGGAAGGAGAAGUCGUAACA
rnacentral:rRNA from 1 species